GGGAUGAUCCUGGAGCUCCAUUACCAGUAGCAGCUCCCAGUCUCUCCCAGUACCCCCCAGUCCCUCCCAAUCCAAUACUGGAUGAACCUGGAGCUCUGGCACCUCCCAGUUCUCUCCCAGUGCCCUCCCAGUGCCUCCCAGUCCACAGUGGGAUGAAUCUGGAGCUCUGGCACUGCCCAUUCUCUCCCAGUCCCUCCCAGUCCCUCCCAGUCCCUCCCAGUCCCAUUCCCGCCGACGCCGCCGUUCCCGUUCCAGCCGUUUGUACCAAUAAAGGUGUUUUUGGGGUC